CCCACAGCUUCUGCUGCUGCAGGAUCACUUUGUUUGUUCUUUCUUUGGUUCUUUUUGCUUUCAAACAUGGAAGAGUGAGCUCUAUGAAAAUCCAUACAUGCUGCACACGGCCAGAGUGGGAAUAGGAAACAUUCACUGCACAAGGCUCUGGCAGCGUGCUGUCCUGUGGCAUGGCUGAGCCAGAGUGACACUGCCACCAUCCACAGAAACAAAACAUGAGUCAAGAGCCAGAAGGUUCUGGAGGGGGAGCGUCAUGAUGCCCCCUGCAGCAGCAGCAGCCACCAGGCUCUGGAUGUUGGCUGUGGGCAGAGAGAGAAC